UUAUUUGAGGAUUUGGUGGAUAAGGGUAUCGAACCAGACGAAGUUAUAUACAGAUUGAUGAUCGAUGCACUGCAUGAAGAUGGGAAUUUGGAGGAAGGGUUUAAGAAAUGGAACGAGCUUUUGGACAAGGGUGUGCUGAGAGGAAAAGUUAGUGAAAUACUCGUAACUGUAUGGUGCGGAAACGGAGAUAUUUCCGAGGUAUUGUCGUUGAUUGAGAAAACGGGAGUAGAAGGGUACAAGCCGAGUGUUGCCACGUGUGGUACCUUGGCUUAUGGUCUGAAAAGAGUAGGAUACAAAGAAGUAGAUAAGGUUCUUGAUGUUAUGGUGAGAUUCGGGUGGGUCCCGCCAUCCAUGAGUUUGAAUGAUUUGAUUGGACAAUAUCAACGAGGGAAUCUCGACAGCAAAAACGAGGUUUCUGGGCUGGCAGCGAAUGAAAUUGCUUGUCAGAUUUAAUCUUGAAAUUGAUUGAGGAUUUGCUAUUCUUUGUUAGUGAUCGAUCCAAGAACGGUCACUUUUUGUGCACCAAAAUCGAGAGAGAAUAUGCCCAUGCUUCGGAAAUUUCGGUGCCUUGGUGGUGAGGUAUUCGAUUGGCUGUCACCAUAAGCAUGCUCGGAUUUGGUCGACACGCGUAAAUGAGUUAAAUCUUUAUUGUGAAGAGCAAAAAGAUCCUCUAAUUAUAUUUUGUUUUGAUGAUGACGAAACUCUACACUGUGAUGUGCAGUGAGUGUAACAUAAAAUAAUUUGUCUUGUAAUAUAUAUGGUUAAUUUGUAAUUUUUUUAAUUUAUUGACUGGGAAGUACUUUACGUGAAUAAUCAACUUUUUUUUUUUCACUUACUCUGAUCAAUGAAACUUCCCUUAGAAAGAAGUUUGUAAUGUACAGAAUUGAGAGCAUUCAGAAUAAAGGCCAACAGUGAAUAUUAAUUUG